CCUACGGGAGACAGCAGUGAGGAAUAUUGGUCAAUGGACGAGAGUCUGAACCAGCCAAGUAGCGUGAAGGAUGACUGCCCUAUGGGUUGUAAACUUCUUUUAUAUGGGAAUAAAAUGUUCCACGUGUGGGAUUUUGUAUGUACCAUAUGAAUAAGGAUCGGCUAACUCCGUGCCAGCAGCCGCGGUAAUACGGAGGAUCCGAGCGUUAUCCGGAUUUAUUGGGUUUAAAGGGAGCGUAGGUGGAUUGUUAAGUCAGUUGUGAAAGUUUGCGGCUCAACCGUAAAAUUGCAGUUGAAACUGGCGGUCUUGAGUACAGUAGAGGUGGGCGGAAUUCGUGGUGUAGCGGUGAAAUGCUUAGAUAUCACGAAGAACUCCGAUUGCGAAGGCAGCUCACUGGACUGCAACUGACACUGAGGCUCGAAAGUGUGGGUAUCAAACAGGAUUAGAUACCCCAGUAGUC
rnacentral:rRNA from 1 species